UCAGGAUGAACGCUGGCGGCGUGCCUAAUACAUGCAAGUCGAACGAGGUAGCAAUACCGAGUGGCGAACGGGUGAGUAACACGUAGGUAACCUGCCCUUAAGCUUGGGAUACCCAGAGGAAACUUUGGCUAAUACCGGAUAACAACAGAGAAGGCAUCUUCUUUGCUUGAAAGGCCCCUUCAAGGGUCACUUAAGGAUGGACCUGCGGCGCAUUAGCUAGUUGGUGAGAUAACAGCCCACCAAGGCGAGGAUGCGUAGCCGAACUGAGAGGUUGAUCGGCCACAUUGGAACUGAGACACGGUCCAAACUCCUACGGGAGGCAGCAGUAAGGAGUUUUCGGCAAUGGGGGAAACCCUGACCGAGCAACGCCGCGUGAGCGAUGACGGCCCUAUGGGUUGCCAAAGCUCUGUUGUAAGCCAUGAAUGACAGCUUGAGGAAAUGCAAGUUGUUCGACGACAGCUUACCAGAAAGCCACGGCUAACUACGUGCCAGCCGCAGC
rnacentral:rRNA from 1 species